UACGUAGGGGACAAGCGUUGUCCGGAUUUAUUGGGCGUAAAGAGCUCGUAGGUGGUUCGGUAAGUCAGGUGUGAAACCUCCAGGCUCAACCUGGAGACGCCACUUGAUACUGCUGUGACUGGAGUCCGGUAGGGGAGCGUGGAAUUCCUGGUGUAGCGGUGAAAUGCGCAGAUAUCAGGAGGAACACCAGCGGCGAAGGCGGCGCUCUGGGCCGGUACUGACACUGAGGAGCGAAAGCGUGGGUAGCAAACAGG
rnacentral:rRNA from 1 species